rnacentral:rRNA from 1 species
GACGAACGCUGGCGGCGUGCUUAACACAUGCAAGUCGAACGAAAAGAGGGAAAGAGCUUGCUCUUUCCGGAAUUGAGUGGCAAACGGGUGAGUAACACGUAAACAACCUGCCUUCAGGAUGGGGACAACUGACGGAAACGACUGCUAAUACCGAAUAAGUUCCAAGGGCCGCAUGGCCCAUGGAAGAAAAGGUGGCCUCUACCUGUAAGCUAUCGCCUGAAGAGGGGUUUGCGUCUGAUUAGCUGGUUGGAGGGGUAACGGCCCACCAAGGCGACGAUCAGUAGCCGGUCUGAGAGGAUGAACGGCCACACUGGAAUUGAGACACGGUCCAGACUCCUACGGGAGGCAGCAGUGGGGAAUCUUCCGCAAUAGGCGAAAGCCUGACGGAGCAACGCCGCGUGAGGGAUGACGGCCUUCGGGUUGUAAAACUCUGUGAUCCGGGACGAAAAGGCAGAGUGCGAAGAACAAACUGCAUUGACGGUACCGGAAAAGCAAGCCACGGCUAACUACGUG